UCGGUAAUUUAAAAAAAAUUAAAAAUCACUACAAUAAUAGAGAAAAUAACAAACGAACUUCUUUUUCGCGUCGGAUCACGGCGAAUCACACUUGACGUCACAGGCUGCAUUACGUCAUUUGAAAUUUUUUCAUAGUGCAGUAAACAUGGCGUUCUCUUGCACAAAGUAUAAAGAUUUGAAGGAAUUAUUGCAUGUGUUUCAUUAAUAUUCUGCUUUGGACAUGACUCUAACGAUGGCAAAUAUAAUGGUAGCAUACCGGUAAGUCAAAUUUCUGUAUUUUUCACAAAGCAUCAACAUAGAGGGG
rnacentral:lncRNA from 1 species